GGCUGGUCUGAAGGUAGUGAGUUAUCUCACUUGAUUGUUCACAGUUAUAGAUCAAACUUCUUGUUCUACUGUUUCCCCUCUUCUCACUACUGUACUUGACUGUCUUUG
rnacentral:Y_RNA from 1 species